GCGAUACUACCGCAAUGCGUUCUAUUAUGUGCAACACGUGGGGCAGGUGUUACUAUUUGUUGCGAGUGCUUUCACAGAGAGACAUCACGUGGAUCCCCGGGUAUCCGGAAGCUACAAUGUACUUUAUGCUAACUCAAUAUGCUUUGUCGCUGCGACGAACCCACGAUCAGGAAGUGAAGCCUGCUUACUUUGGAGACUAGCACGCGCAAGGCAGGACGAGAGAUAUUCAUGCAGGGCGGCAUUCAACAUUUACUGUAGCAGUUACACCGGACAUAAGGUUUUUUACACCAAAGAACUAUGUGCUACCAGAAAAUGUUAUACGAAGGCCGGAGUGAUUAAUACAUAUUUCACAAUACAAAACGUCCGGAGUGAUUAUUACAUAAUUUCUUCUGCAAUAACGGGACCCUGCUGGUCAUUGUUAAAUGAAUAUAAAUUACGAAAAUGCUAUAAAUGCCACGAAAUUUAGGCAUUAUAUUAUAUUUCUUGGGAAAAAACUGCAUACUGUUGUAAAUCUCAUGCUUUUGGCAACACACGGUAUCAUGCGUAGGAGUUAUGUAAUAUUACAUACCAUGUACUCUUUACUAGGCAACACGCUGAAUUACAUUUUUUGAAAGACCACCCGGAACCCAUAUUUAAAAGAGCGAGAGAAAAUUAACUGGCCUCGCGACAUUUAUGUCGGCUGUGGUUCGAUAUGCUGUUCCGGACUUUAAAGAAAGAUUUGUGAUGAGUGUGCUGGUACGAAAACAUUUCUAAUUUUGUCAACAACCCCUCGGCCACUGCUCUAUUGUUAUUUUUUUGAGUGCAAACACUGUGCUUAAAUAGGGAGCUUACUGAGCAAUGAAGAAUGCCCACCUAGUCGAAUAUUACCUCACGCUCGUAAGAGCUACAAUGCACUACAAGUGCGAGAACGCCUGUUUGCCUGCCUUCACCCGUCUUCGCUUUCUAGACGUGACUUCAACUUUCUACGAGAGCAAAUCUGACAGCAGCAGUUGCAGAGGCAAGAAAUGCAUGACAAUCGAACGUCUCGAAAAUAAGUGUUUCUACAACCAGCCGACAAGAUAUUUAGUUGCAGCAUGGCCGAUUCUGAAUACUUGAGCCGUGAUCCAUGCCACUGAAAAACAUCUCUUUUGCAGAAUAAACA